rnacentral:rRNA from 1 species
GACGAACGCUGGCGGCGUGCUUAACACAUGCAAGUCGAACGGAAAGGCCCUGCUUUUGUGGGGUGCUCGAGUGGCGAACGGGUGAGUAACACGGGAGUAACCUGCCCUUGACUUUGGGAUAACUUCAGGAAACUGGGGCUAAUACCGGAUAGGAGCUCCUGCUGCAUGGUGGGGGUUGGAAAGUUUCGGCGGUUGGGGAUGGACUCGCGGCUUAUCAGCUUGUUGGUGGGGUAGUGGCUUACCAAGGCUUUGACGGGUAGCCGGCCUGAGAGGGUGACCGGCCACAUUGGGACUGAGAUACGGCCCAGACUCCUACGGGAGGCAGCAGUGGGGAAUAUUGCACACUGGGCGGCAGCCUGAUGCAGCAACGCCGCGUGCGGGAUGACGGCCUUCGGGUUGUAAACCGCUUUCGCCUGUGACGAAGCGUGAGUGACGGUAAUGGGUAAAGAAGCACCGGCUAACUACGUG